UUUGGAUUUUGGUUUUUGGUUUUGCUGUAAUUUUUUUAUUUUUCAAAAAUUAAUUAAUACAUUCCUUUAAAAUAAUACAACAAAAUAGCAAUAAAUAUUUAGAUUUUACAAUGAAAAUUUAUCAAAAUACUGUAUUAUUAUUUUAAAAUAAAUUAAAAUAACAUAUUUUAAUUAUUAUAUUUUUAUCAAAAUAUAUUAUAGUGAAAUAUAAAUCAUAAAAUAUAUAUAAAUUACACCAAAAAUAUUAAAUUUUGAAACUACUUAGAAACUUUUCUUAUAUAAAUU
rnacentral:lncRNA from 1 species